GGGUGGUUAGCUCAGCGGUAGAGCAUUGCCUUCACACGGCAAGGGUCACAGGUUCAAUCCCUGUACCACCCACCA
rnacentral:tRNA from 2 species